GACGAACGCUGGCGGCGUGCUUAACACAUGCAAGUCGAACGGAAAGGCCCUGCUUUUGUGGGGUGCUCGAGUGGCGAACGGGUGAGUAACACGUGAGUAACCUGCCCUUGACUUUGGGAUAACUUCAGGAAACUGGGGCUACUACCGGAUAGGAGCUCCUGCUGCAUGGUGGGGGUUGGAAAGUUUCGGCGGUUGGGGAUGGACUCGCGGCUUAUCAGCUUGUUGGUGGGGUAGUGGCUUACCAAGGCUUUGACGGGUGGCCGGCCUGAGAGGGUGACCGGCCACAUUGGGACUGAGAUACGGCCCAGACGCCUACGGGAGGCAGCAGUGGGGAAUAUUGCACAAUGGGCGGAAGCCUGAUGCAGCAACGCCGCGUGCGGGAUGACGGCCUUCGGGUUGUAAACCGCUUUCGCCUGUGACGAAGCGUGAGUGACGGUAAUGGGUAAAGAAGCACCGGCUAACUACGUG
rnacentral:rRNA from 1 species